UCAGACCUUACUAGCUCUCUCUUUCACUAACGUUCUCUUCCGAAACUCCGGCGCACUUUCAGUCCAAACUCUGCCGCGUAAAGUGGUGGUGAUCUCCGCCGGCAACACUUCGCUCGUCUUCAAUACUUCGCCACAGGUGAGACGGAACAGCUGGUAAGUUUCACCAACUGAAGCUGAUUUGGCAUCUCUGUUCGGCGAGUUCCAAGGUAAUCAAUCGAGAUCCGCUGAAUUUCUUGUCUCCGUUCUUGUUCAAAUUCUGGUCGUCGGCGUCGGGGUUCUGAUUCUUGGCACGCUGCUCUCAUUGCUGUCACAAUUAGUUUCUUAAAAUAUCAGAUCGAGGCCCAUUUCUGUUCGCAUCUCAUAUUUGUUUAAAGUUGUACUGCUUUUUUAAUUACUUUUAUUUUUGAGUGCUAUAUGUUUUAUUAAUUUACCCAAAGCACAUCCUGUUGAUUAUUGUAACAUUCUGCUAGUUACAACCUCUUUUCACUGAGUUUUGAUUUAUCCCAAACUACCUUAUCUUUGAUUUAAGGUCACGAAUUUUGUCUGCC
rnacentral:lncRNA from 1 species